rnacentral:rRNA from 1 species
CCUACGGGAGGCAGCAGUGAGGAAUAUUGGUCAAUGGGCGCGAGCCUGAACCAGCCAAGUAGCGUGAAGGAUGACUGCCCUACGGGUUGUAAACUCCUUUUAUAAAGGAAUAAAGUGAGACACGUGUGCCUUUUUGUACGUACUUUAUGAAUAAGGAUCGGCCAACUCCGUGCCAGCAGCCGCGGUAAUACGGAGGAUCCGAGCGUUAUCCGGAAUUAGUGGGUUUAAAGGUAGCGUAGAUGGGUUGUUAAGUCAGUUGUGAAAGUUUGCGGCUCAACCGUAAAACUGCAAUUGAAACUGGCAGCCUUGAGUACAGGAGAGGUAGGCGGAAUUCGUGGUGUAGCGGUGAAAUGCGUAGAUAUCACGAAGAACUCCGAUUGCGAAGGCAGCCUACUAAACUGCCACUGACGUUGAUGCUCGAAAGUGUGGGUAUCAAACAGGAUUAGAUACCCGAGUAGUC